AGAGACCACUCUCUCUAGCUCUGAUGGAGGGACCUGGCUGUAGAGAUCUGAAUGGAGGACCUAGUUUGGAGCAGGACUGGGGAAAGGCCAAGGGAGCCGAGGAGCUCCAGCCUAGGAAAGCUUCAGGCCUGGUAACCUGGUCCUGACCCUGAGCUCCGAUUUCUGCCUUCGGCUCUGGCCUCUGGCUCUGACCCUUGGCUCCAAUUUCUGGCUACCAGCUCCUGCUCUAACCACUGGAUGUGACUCCUGCUCCAACCACUCAGCAUGACCACUCACGUCCUGGUCACUGACAUUGGGCCCAUCUCUGAUUGUUCAUCCCAAAAGUACAGCCACAGAGAUUCCCAAAUGAUGCUCGCUAAUGGGAGGCAUUUGCAGUGGUGCUGGAACAAUUUUUACAGUUGGGGUGCUGAAAGUCAGUGGUCCCCAAACUUUUUACCUUGCCCCUUCUUACCCUGUCUGUGCUCCCUCUCCCCUGAGCUGAGGCCAGGACUGGGGUGUGGAUCGGGGUAAGGUGACUCAGGCUGGGACCACACCUUGCAGGGCUAGCAGCGGGACCCUGUGUCUGGGACCAGCAGUGGAGCGCGGGGCCGGCAGCCGGGACCCCUGCAAACUGAUUAACCCCUUGCACCCCAAGUUCCCGUGCCUACGGGCAUUUGUAGGCUCUCACUAGGUGAUUG